rnacentral:rRNA from 1 species
GGAAGCAGCUUGCUGCUUUGCUGACGAGUGGCGGACGGGUGAGUAAUGUCUGGGAAACUGCCUGAUGGAGGGGGAUAACUACUGGAAACGGUAGCUAAUACCGCAUAACGUCGCAAGACCAAAGAGGGGGACCUUCGGGCCUCUUGCCAUCGGAUGUGCCCAGAUGGGAUUAGCUAGUAGGUGGGGUAACGGCUCACCUAGGCGACGAUCCCUAGCUGGUCUGAGAGGAUGACCAGCCACACUGGAACUGAGACACGGUCCAGACUCCUACGGGAGGCAGCAGUGGGGAAUAUUGCACAAUGGGCGCAAGCCUGAUGCAGCCAUGCCGCGUGUAUGAAGAAGGCCUUCGGGUUGUAAAGUACUUUCAGCGGGGAGGAAGGCGAUAAGGUUAAUAACCUUGUCGAUUGACGUUACCC